AUGGUGUUACUUAUUUAUUUAUUCAUUCUUUCAUUCAAUAUAGGGUUGAUGUGUUGCACAUUUCCAGGGAGCAUCAGUGAUAUCAUCAUCUAUGUGGACAGUGCCCUUGAAGCUGUACAGGACACAACCUUCACAACCAUAUUCAGUUUGAUGAACAACAUAAACUGGGUCAACUAAAAGGCAUCAGUUCUCAUAGAGGAAAAGAAUAUCAAUCAGCGUUUAGCGUGAACCAGAAGAAACUUUAGAGAUGAGUUACUCCAAUUCCUACUAAUUUUGCAGAAGAAGCAGUCAAGUUUUAGAGAAGUAUUACAAAUUCCCCAAGGACAUGAGGCGACUGGUGGUACAACUGGACCUAGACCCAAGCUCAGGACAACCAGAUAAAGCCCUUUCCACCUGGCAUCACUACCUCUUUAAACAUUUGGCAACAGCUCCUCCAAGAUGGUGAUUUCAUGGAAGUCAUCAGCCAUGCAAAUCAGAUAAAACUCAUCAUACAUUUUGUUACUGGCAAUGAAAUCUCAAAAGUAAUUGUUUUAGAAUUGAACAUUUUAUUUAUUGGUUAAUUGAGUCUAUUAUCAUAGUAGGAGUCUCCAGAGAAAAUCUGUAGUUUUAAGAGCUUUUCCUUUGACAGAUAAUAAGAUGGAAAGUGAAAGUAAGAGUCACUCAGUCCUAUCUGACUCUGUGAUCCCACAGACCAUACAGUCCAUGCAAUUCUCCAGGCCAGAAUACUGGAGUGGGUAGCCUUUCCCUCCUCCAGGGGAAUCUUCCCAACCCUGGGAUCAAACGCAGGUCUCCCACAUUGCAGGUGGAUUCUUUACCAACUGAGCUACUGGGGAAGCCCCAGUAAGAUGGAGGGAAGUUCCCAAAGCAUCAUAGUGUUAUGUGCUAUACAUGGCUUUCCCCUAGAAUUAUUAUUUUUAGAAGUAAAUUAUAAUCAGAGGAAUUAUUCAAGUCACACUCUGGAAGGUGGAAUUGAGGAAAGAAAGUUUCUAGCAAUUUAGGCAAGAGUUUCUCAACCUUGGCACUAUGAGCAUUUACACCACAUAAUUCCUUGUUAUGGCAGUGGGGACUAACCUGUGAUUGAUUGUAGGAUGUUUAGCAGCAUUCUUGGCCUCUACCC
rnacentral:lncRNA from 1 species